AAUUACUGAACAAAGUUUUAAAGUACCUAACACUAUUCUCCUCUAAUAGAGCCCUAGAGGUGGUUUGAAUUCCAUUUGUAUUGAGAAUUUUAGAGGUUGAAUUUUUAGAUCUCCUUAGCUUUGUGGCGAUACUAAAGAAUCUGUUGUUUUUGUCUCCUAAUUUUAACUAAGAGACCUUACUCCUUUGUUUCAGAUCUGCCUCCUCUUUUGCCAUAAACUCCUUUAAUCUUUCCCUUAUUUUUGUACUCUCCUCUUGGAGCGGGAUAGAUAAGGGAUUCUUUUCCAAAGCUUCAACUGAGCUAUUCAGAUCAAUCCUUGCCUGGGCUACUCUCUUCGUUGAAUGCCUUUUUUCUGCUGCCCAUUGCUUAGAAAGUACCUUAACUUCCUUAAGUUUUUACUGUAACUUAUACAAUCCAGUUCCAUGUAUUUGCUUUGUUAGGCCUGUCUUAACUAUCUCUACAUAUGAGGGAUCCUCCAGCCAAGAGUUAAAUAGCCUAAACGGCUUAGCU
rnacentral:lncRNA from 1 species